UCGGGAAUAUUGGGCAAUGGAGGAAACUCUGACCCAGCAAUACCGCGUGAGCGAUGAAGGUAAUUUUAUUGUAAAGCUCUUUUCUCAGUCAAGAAUAAAUGACUAGCUGAGGAAUAAGCCCCGGCUAACUACGUGCCAGCAGCCGCGGUAAUACGUAGGGGGCGAGCGUUGUCCGGAAUUACUGGGCGUAAAGGGUGUGUAGGCGGUUUGAUAAGUUAGAAGUGUAAUACCCAGGGCUUAACUCGGGUGCUGCUUCUAAAACUGUCAGACUUGAGUGCAGGAGAGGUAAGUGGAAUUCCUAGUGUAGCGGUGGAAUGCGUAGAUAUUAGGAGGAACAUCAGUGGCGAAGGCGACUUACUGGACUGUAACUGACGCUGAGGCACGAAAGCGUGGGUAGCAAACAGG
rnacentral:rRNA from 1 species